GUUGUCUAGUGUUCUUCUUAUACUCUGCAUUGAAAUGUUUUUCCUCCUUUCAUCAGGUCAUCUUGCAAGUCUUUGGCUGUAAAUCAAGUGUUUU